rnacentral:rRNA from 1 species
UACAGGGGGUGCAAACGUUGCUCGGAAUUAUUGGGCGUAAAGCGCGCGUAGGCGGCUACUUAAGUCGGAUGUGAAAGCCCUUGGCUCAACUGAGGAAGUGCACCCGAAACUGAGUGGCUUGAGUACCAAAGAGGGUCGCGGAAUUCCCGGUGUAGAGGUGAAAUUCGUAGAUAUCGGGAGGAACACCGGUGGCGAAGGCGGCGACCUGGGUGGAUACUGACGCUGAGGCGCGAAAUCGUGGGGAGCAAACAGG